AACGAACGCUGGCGGCAUGCCUAACACAUGCAAGUCGAACGAGACCUUCGGGUCUAGUGGCGCACGGGUGCGUAACGCGUGGGAAUCUGCCCUUGGGUUCGGAAUAACAGCGAGAAAUUGCUGCUAAUACCGGAUGAUGACGUAAGUCCAAAGAUUUAUCGCCCAAGGAUGAGCCCGCGUAGGAUUAGCUAGUUGGUGAGGUAAAGGCUCACCAAGGCGACGAUCCUUAGCUGGUCUGAGAGGAUGAUCGGCCACACUGGGACUGAGACACGGCCCAGACUCCUACGGGAGGCAGCAGUGGGGAAUAUUGGACAAUGGGUGAAAGCCUGAUCCAGCAAUGCCGCGUGAGUGAUGAAGGCCCUAGGGUUGUAAAGCUCUUUUACCAGGGAUGAUAAUGACAGUACCUGGAGAUAAGCUCCGGCUAACUCCGUGCCAGCAGCCGCGGUAAU
rnacentral:rRNA from 1 species